AAUCGUGAUAAGGGAACUCCGAGUGCCCGUAAAAUCGGGCUGUCCGCCAGUGUAAAUAACUGGUGAAGAAAGGGCCGGGCAAGACCGGUGCCAGCCGCCGCGGUAAUACCGGCGGCUCGAGUGGUGGCCACUAUUACUGGGCUUAAAGCGUUCGUAGCUGGUCUGUUAAGUCUCUGGGGAAAUCUUCCGGCUUAACCGGAAGGCGUCUCAGGGAUACUGGCAGACUAGGGACCGGA
rnacentral:rRNA from 1 species